GACGAACGCUGGCGGCGUGCUUAACACAUGCAAGUCGUACGGUAAGGCCCUUUCGGGGGUACACGAGUGGCGCACGGGUGAGUAACACGUGAGUAACCUGCCCACAACUUUGGGAUAACGCUAGGAAACUGGUGCUAAUACUGGAUAUGUGCUCCUGCUGCAUGGUGGGGGUUGGAAAGCUCCGGCGGUUGUGGAUGGACUCGCGGCCUAUCAGCUUGUUGGUGGGGUAGUGGCCUACCAAGGCGGCGACGGGUAGCCGGCCUGAGAGGGUGACCGGCCACAUUGGGACUGAGAUACGGCCCAGACUCCGACGGGAGGCAGCAGUGGGGAAUAUUGCACAAGGGGCGCAAGCCGGAUGCAGCAACGCCGCGUGCGGGAUGACGGCCUUCGGGUUGUAAACCGCUUUCAGCAGGGACGAAGCUUUUUGUGACGGUACCUGCAGAAGAAGCACCGGCUAACUACGUG
rnacentral:rRNA from 1 species